rnacentral:rRNA from 1 species
GAUGAACGCUGGCGGCGUGCUUAACACAUGCCAGUCGAACGGUGAAGGCGGAGCUUGCUCUGCUGGAUCAGUGGCGAACGGGUGAGUAACACGUGAGCAAUCUGCCCCUGACUCUGGGAUAAGCGCUAGAAACGGCGUCUAAUACUGGAUACGAGCUGCGAAGGCAUCUUCAGCAGCUGGAAAGAAUUUCGGUCAGGGAUGAGCUCGCGGCCUAUCAGCUUGUUGGUGAGGUAAUGGCUCACCAAGGCGUCGACGGGUAGCCGGCCUGAGAGGGUGACCGGCCACACUGGGACUGAGACACGGCCCAGACUCCUACGGGAGGCAGCAGUGGGGAAUAUUGCACAAUGGGCGAAAGCCUGAUGCAGCAACGCCGCGUGAGGGACGACGGCCCUCGGGUUGUAAACCUCUUUUAGCAGGGAAGAAGCGAAAGUGACGGUACCUGCAGAAAAAGCGCCGGCUAACUACGUG